GUAUGAUACCCCCACUAUGAGUGUAUUAACUUUGCUCCUUUCACCAUAAAGUUCUUAUAGGUCUCACCCCCUGGAGAGCCACCAGCAUUGAAAUGCUGGAGACCUCUCACAGGUGCAACCCAAUUGCCUCUGGUUUGAUGGAGGGACCCAACCACCCAACAAUGGAAGGGGCCUGAUCCCCUCAUAAUGAUGGGCAAAGGUUUUGCUUGUGUUUUCCAGAGAUCACUCUGCAGCCUGUGUGGAUAGCAGCCUGAAAUGCCAAACCCUGGACCCAGUCUCUGAAAGCUCACCCUCUGACAAGCCAACUUCAGCGCCUUUCCCUGAACAAGCCAUUCACAGAAAGAUCCUCUUCAGAUCAGCUACAGCUUAAAUGAAAGGGACCUUACCAGGAAACUGGGUUGCCAGCGUCACUGCAGAGAACAAGAACAGUCCCACAGUGACAGAGGUGGAGCCUGGAGCUGGAGUCUCUACAAGCGGCAAGGACCCAUGGCAGUGUGGCCAGGAGUUCCCCAGGUCUCACAGAGGACAGAUGAAGAAGUCAAUAAAACUGGAGAAAAAGAUUCUACACACUUUUCAAAAGAUAAAGAGGAAGAAUACAUCUGGACUAAUCCAUAAUGCAAACAUUAUACAACUGCAAUGAUUGAAGAAAUCAAAUUUCCACAUGAGCAAUAAUAUAAAAAAUCAAACUAAAUUUUGAAACAGGAUAUUCUUCAAUAGGUGAAUGUAUGAGUAAACUGUGUUGUGUCUGAGAGACCUCAGCCUGGAUGAAUGCGCAGCUAUUUUAGAAUAGGCCUCCAUCUUGUAAUUCAGGCCUGACCGAGCCCUGAACCCUGAAGCUCAUGAAAGAAAAAAUAAAUAAAUGAACUCCCCUUGCAAUAAACCCCACCUAGCAACAGCCAAUCAGCAGCUAGCAGGGAGAUACCUAAAGUUUCAGGUGUCUUUUCAGGCACUUAAGGUAAUUGAUAAUAUCCUGAGACCCUGCAGUUUGGCAAGUACACCAUAGUGGCUCUGACCCUAUACUUUAGCCAAUCAUUUUUUUUUUACUUUUU